AGAGUUUGAUCCUGGCUCAGGACGAACGCUGGCGGCGUGCCUAAUACAUGCAAGUCGAACGGUCUUUUCUAUGGAAGCUUGCUUCCACUGAGAAGAUAGUGGCGAACGGGUGAGUAACACGUGGGUAACCUGCCCAUAAGAGGGGGAUAACAUCCGGAAACGGGUGCUAAUACCGCAUAGUUUUCUUGAUCGCAUGAUCGAGAAAGGAAAGACGGCCUUUGUGCUGUCGCUUAUGGAUGGACCCGCGGCGUAUUAGUUAGUUGGUGAGGUAAUGGCUCACCAAGACGAUGAUACGUAGCCGACCUGAGAGGGUGAUCGGCCACAUUGGGACUGAGACACGGCCCAAACUCCUACGGGAGGCAGCAGUAGGGAAUCUUCCGCAAUGGACGAAAGUCUGACGGAGCAACGCCGCGUGAGUGAAGAAGGUUUUCGGAUCGUAAAACUCUGUUGUCAGAGAAGAACAAGUCGGAGAGUAACUGCUCCGGCCUUGACGGUAUCUGACCAGAAAGCCACGGCUAACUACGUGCCAGCAGCCGCGGUAAUACGUAGGUGGCAAGCGUUGUCCGGAUUUAUUGGGCGUAAAGCGAGCGCAGCGGUUCCUUAAGUCUGAUGUUAAAGCCCACGGCUCAACCGUGGAAAGUCAUUGGAAACUGGGGAACUUGAGUGCAGAAGAGAGAGUGGAAUUCCAUGUGUAGCGGUGAAAUGCGUAGAUAUAUGGAGGAACACCAGUGGCGAAGCGACUCUCUGGUCUGUAACUGACGCUGAGCUCGAAAGCGUGGGGAGCAAACAGGAUUAGAUACCUGGUAGUCCMCGCCGYAACGAUGARUGCUAGUGUGGAGGGUUCCACCCCUCAGUGCUGCAGCUA
rnacentral:rRNA from 1 species